rnacentral:lncRNA from 1 species
GCUGGGGGUGGGGGCUGGGAGUCAGGAAACAGAGUCAGCAGUGGUCUCGUUUGGAAUUUGGACUUAAAGAGGAAACAGGACUGUCAUUGCACGUACAGGGAAGGAAACUGCACUGAAGCUUUGCCUGAACCUGCGGAUUUCUAAAUUAAGAUGACUCUUUUCAGGCCCUCCUCCACUCAACAAGCCCAGGGUCCUGCUGUGUACACGCUCUGCCUGCGGAGGAGAAACCCUGAGUGUGACCAAGGCCCCAGCCGACAAGCAGCUUGCAGAACAGAGAGCGCUGCCUUCCACCCCGGAGUCCACGGGGGUCUUGCUAGGACAUUCUUCUUCUGUGGAAGUUGUAAAUUUUACUUUGGGCUCUCCUCAUUUUGAGGUAAUAAAAUCCUGAGCCUGGAAGGGAACGGGGAGAUCAUCCUUCACCUCACGGAUGUAAAAAGUUGAAUCCUGGAGAGACGCAGGACACACAUCCAGUAAGGGGAAGAUUCAGGGGCAAAGCUCUUAUCUUCUGCUUCCCGGUUCGGGGAAUUUUCCACUACCUCGCGCCAGAUUGCAUACAUGAGAGUCGAUUCUGCGUCUCUAAGUUCAUAUAGCUUAACCAUUCCUUUAAAUGGCUGUGUUAAUGACUUCCAUGAGUCAGUGCUUAUUUUCCAUAUUCUGCCAAUUAAUUGUGGUUUGGGGGGUGAUCUGUUCCAAAUCCCUGGAUUAUAAAGUGUGGCGUCAGCUAUUUUUUGAAGGUAAUUCAUUCCAAAGCUUGGACCAAUUAUAGCUAAUAUAGUUGAAUUUGUCUUUAAACAUCCUCGAAUCAAAACCCAAUAGUCCUAUUUGUUUCCCCCCUAGCAUGGCUACCAGGAGGCAUUGUGAAUUCCCCAGGACCCCGUCCCCCCUCCCCACAGGACCUGGGGAAGCAGAUACCCUGAGGAUCCGUGAAAGUCAGCUUGGAAGUACCACUGUCACCUGGAAGAUGACUGGCUGGAGCAGUCUGUUUGGAGGUGUUUGCUUUUCUUUGUUAUUGUGGCCAGAAAUAAUAGUAAGAAGGACUUAAUGUUAUUUCUAACUCCGAGAGUCCCCUUUCCCUCUCCCCAGGCAAUCUAGAUUGGGCUCCUACCAUCUGGAAAAUAUAAGUUUUGUUUGGAAACUAGGAACAUCUUCUACCGCAUCUAAAACUGGUUACUUUCCCCACCAAGCAGCAUAUCAAAGACAGGGAUAAAAAUAUCCAUUGUAUGAGACAGCCAUUUUUAUAUCCAUGGCUUUUGGCUCUCAGAUUGAUCUUUGGUGGCCUCUGCCAUCCAGUCUAAUCAGCCUAAUCUCUUGAGGGGCAAAGAUGAGGAGUGCACCGCUCCGUCGAGCAGCCCGGCUCUGGGCAAGCGAUCUCAUUGUCAUAUAUUAGAAUUGAGAAGUGCAGGGGAGGCAAACAUAAUAUUCCCUCUACCCUUGUAACUUCUUUUCUGGGACCCUUAAACAAAAUACAGAUUGACAAGAGAAAAUCAAGUGUAUUAAAAUGUAUGUUUCAUGUGUACAUGAAAGAAAACCAAGGGAAAGAGUAACUACCAAAGAUGUCAUCUGCAAAUUCUUGCUUAUUAGUCUCUUCAACAGUAAACGAUGCAUUUUUAAUUAAUUUAUUAAUUUAUUCUAAUUAGGUAUAUAUGGCAGCAGAAUGCAUUUUGAUUCAUUGUACAAACUGCAGCACAACUUUUCAUUUCUCUGGUUGUACAUGACGUAGCCUCGCACCACAUGUUCAGUCAUACAUGUACCGGGCCAUGCAUUUUCAGACAAAUGAUGAACAAAGGAAUCGGACUGUGAGUCUCUAUGAGCGGCAAAGUGUGGGAAGGCAAAGGUGUGGGGAACUCACUGUAGGUAGAGACUUGACAGUCGAGAUUGGCACAUAGAUUCCCCUGGCCUAGUCCUGGCUAAUACGGGUCUCAAGCCAUCUCUGGGGAUGGACUUAAUCCUUCCUGAUGGAGAGGGGAGGAGGGACAAGGUUUUGUUCUACUUUUAGACAUACAGAGGGAGGGUAGGGAGGUUUUCUUGUAUCUGUUUCUUCUAAAUUGCUUCCAGCUCAAAAUAAUCCUCAUGCCAAAGUGACAAAUGUGGCUUUUUCUGCUGUCUUUGAAAGACUUUCUGAGCUCACAUGGUUUGAUAUUACAGACAAGAAAACCAGGCUUAGGGAAAGAAACCUCUUGCAUGCUCUCCAUUUGUAAGAGGACCUGCUCCGUCAUUUCCACCUUUGACAGUCCCUGCUCUGAAAGUCCCUUCCGGGUGGCUGUGGACAAGCAGCCCAAAAGCAUCACUUGGAGCUCCUGGAGAGGGCAGAUCUGGGCCCCAGUGGGAAUCUGCAUCUGAAGGCCUCCUCCAGGUGACUGCCUGGGCCUCGGGGCUUUAGAAAUCGCACUGAUAUUGGCCUAAGGCAUUUUGUGACUUGUCUCUCCUUGGUCUGCAGGUGUCACCAGAGAGCUGACAGUGAUCUUGUGAA